UGGGGAAUAUUGGACAAUGGGCGCAAGCCUGAUGCAGCGACGCCGCGUGAGGGAUGACGGCCUUCGGGUUGUAAACCUCUUUCGGCAGGGACGAAGCGCAAGUGACGGUACCUGCAGAAGAAGCGCCGGCCAACUACGUGCCAGCAGCCGCGGUAAGACGUAGGGCGCAAGCGUUGUCCGGAUUUAUUGGGCGUAAAGAGCUCGUAGGCGGCUUGUUGCGUCGAUCGUGAAAACCUGCAGCUUAACUGUGGGCUUGCGGUCGAUACGGGCAGGCUGGAGUUCGGUAGGGGAGACUGGAAUUCCUGGUGUAGCGGUGAAAUGCGCAGAUAUCAGGAGGAACACCGGUGGCGAAGGCGGGUCUCUGGGCCGAUACUGACGCUGAGGAGCGAAAGCGUGGGGAGCGAA
rnacentral:rRNA from 1 species